CUCGGGGGAGCCGGGGAGCGGGAGGCGCCGGCUGGUGGUUCCUCAAGCACUGUGAACGAUGCAUGAAUAUAAAUGAGGCACCUAUUUUUAAGCCCUUUGGCAUAUGAAGAAAGGAAGGACUUGGAGGUUUUCAAAGACUUCAGCAUCCAUCAUCUCUGAUUCUGUGGCAGCCUUGUGAG